GUUCGUUAGCCAUGGUAGGCAAUUCACCUAGGAGAGCAAACUCCGAACAAUAAACCCGGGCAGGUGGGGCUCGUUAGCCGUGGUAGGCAAUUCACCUAGGAGAGCAAACUCCGAACAAUAAACCCGGGCAGGUGGAGGUCGUUAGCGAAAGCAGUUCACCUAGGAGAGCAAACUCCGAUUACAAACCCGGGCAGGUGAGGUUCGUUAGCCGUGGUAGGCAAUUCACCUAGGAGAGCAAACUCCGAACAAUAAACCCGGGCAGGUUGGGCUCGUGAGCCGUCAUAGGUAAUACACCUAGGAGAGCAAACUCCGAACAAUAAACCCGGGCAGGUUGGGCUCGUGAGCCGUCAUAGGUAAUACACCUAGGAGAGCAAACUCCGAACAAUAAACCCGGGCAGGUGGAGCUCGUCAGCCGUGGUAGGCAGUCUGCCUAGGAGAGCAAACUCCGAACAAUAAACCGGGGCUUGUGGUGCUCGUUAGAUGUCGUAGACAAUCCACGUGAUGGGAACACCAAAGAAAAGGAAAAUAAAAAGGAACACCAGAAAAAGGAAAAUAUAGUAACAAAACAUCAAGAAAAUAAAAUAAAAAACACAAAUCAUCCACCUUCAGGCCCUAACAUCUUCAAAAUUAUGGGUGAGUCUUUUCUGGGGAGAAAGAGGCUCAUCCAGACCAAAGAACAUCAAAAAGGGAUGAUAUAGAAAGGAACACCAAAAAAAUGGGAAAAAGAGAAAAAAACAUCGCAAGAGAAAAUUAACAACAAUAACAGAACAACGUCAAGAAAAGUAACAUACAAAGAAACAUCAUCCACCAUUCGGCCCCAAACUAACAUCACCAAAAUUAUGGGUGGGUCUCUUCUGGGAGGAAAGCGGCUCACCCAGACCAACGAAGAACAUCAACAAGAGGAUGAUAUGAAAUAAAAGAACAUUAAAAAACACGAAGAAAAGAAAUAAGAAGAAAAAGAACAGAAAAAAACAUCGGAAAAGAAAAACAAGAAGAAAAACACAUCAAGAGAAGAAAAAUAUAAGAAACAUCAUCCACCUUUCGGCCCCUAACUAACAUCACCAAAAUUAUGGA